rnacentral:rRNA from 1 species
GCGGACGGGUGAGUAACGCGUGGGUAACCUGCCCUGUACAGGGGGAUAACAGUUGGAAACGGCUGCUAAAACCGCAUAACAUGGAGAUACCGCAUGAUAUUUCCAUCAAAUAUUUAUAGGUACAGGAUGGGCCCGCGUCUGAUUAGCCAGUUGGCAGGGUAAUGGCCUACCAAAGCGACGAUCAGUAGCCGGCUUGAGAGAGUGACCGGCCACAUUGGGACUGAGACACGGCCCAAACUCCUACGGGAGGCAGCAGUGGGGGAUAUUGCACAAUGGGGGAAACCCUGAUGCAGCGACGCCGCGUGAGUGAAGAAGUAUUUCGGUAUGUAAAGCUCUAUCGGCAGGGAAGAAAAAAAUGACAGUACCUGACUAAGAAGCCCCGGCUAACUACGUGCCAGCAGCCGCGGUAAUACGUAGGGGGCAAGCGUUAUCCGGAUUUACUGGGUGUAAAGGGAGCGUAGGCGGCCAUGCAAGUCAGAAGUGAAAACCCGGGGCUCAACCCUGGGAGUGCUUUUGAAACUGUGCGGCUAGAGUGUCGGAGGGGUAAGUGGAAUUCCUAGUGUAGCGGUGAAAUGCGUAGAUAUUAGGAGGAACACCAGUGGCGAGGGCGGCUUACUGGACGAUGACUGACGCUGA